UUUUAGCAAUUUAAUACUCACCUCGUCAUGGAUGUGGCUUAAAGACGGUGUGGACUGGCUUUAUAUAUGAAACAAAUUGUAAAUAAUCUACAAGUAACUUAAAGUCCUGAGCAAAAGCAGCUACUAAAGCACCACCUGGCUAUGCAACUCAAGAACUAUGUGUUUCCUGGUUAAAGCUUUGCCUAAACCUACUGAGUUUCAAGACCAUGAUUAUUUAUUUUGAUCUUCUUUGGAAAAGGCCACUAAAUAUCAUCAAAUACCUUGGGAAGACAGUAUGUAUGCGUUUUUGUGUAUUUCAAGUAGAAUCACCUAACUCUUAAAAUAUCUCUAAUGAAGUGUUUUUCUUCAAUUCUGGUGGUAAUCCAUGCUAAUGUAACCACAUGAGGAGUCUGGUCUUUCUUAAGACCAAAAACGAUAAAAAGCACUUUUUAACCUGUUAAAUGCCAAGAUAAGCAUUAGAGUCAAAGAUCUGGAGCUACAUGGAGUUUACUGAAAAAUUAUAAUCUAUAGGAUCUACAAGAAGUUUUACAUAAACAACUAUUUUAUGGUGUGCAAUGGAGGCAAAGGACAUAUUGACCAAAGAGGUUAAAGUAAGAAUCCUGUAAACCAUGAUGAGUGUCUAAUUUUUCUGAAUUCAGUUACAAGGAUAAACUAGAGACUAUGUAUUGUUUUAUGCCUCUGAAUAAGGAGUUAGGUAAACAAAACACAUUGCAAUUACUCACAGUUAUAAUAAUUGUUCUAUGCAUAGCAAGAUGCUUUGUUUGAAUUCAUAUGAUUAAUUCUCUCAGAGAAAGGCCAAUACAUUUUUAAGUCUUUUGUUUUUAGAGCCCACAGCUGCCUAAGAAUAGGCACAUCCAUUUUCUCAACCAUGUAAAGUGUGCUUAUGACCUCUACUUCCUUCCUCCCUUCUGCGAUGCUAUUAGCAGGUUCUGUGCAACAGCCAAAGACCCAUUAAAAGGCAGAAAUGUGAUUUUGAUCUUUUCAGUU
rnacentral:lncRNA from 1 species